UACGGGGGGAGCAAACGUUGUUCGGAAUUACUGGGCGUAAAGGGCGCGUAGGCGGAUACUUAAGUCAGGGGUGAAAUCCUGGAGCUCAACUCCAGAACUGCCUUUGAUACUGAAGAUCUUGAGUUCGGGAGAGGUGAGUGGAACUGCGAGUGUAGAGGUGAAAUUCGUAGAUAUUCGCAAGAACACCGGUGGUGUAGACGCUUUCUGGACCGUAACUGACGCUGAGGCACGAAAGCGUGGGGAGCAAACAGG
rnacentral:rRNA from 1 species